rnacentral:rRNA from 1 species
CGGGGGGAGCAAGCGUUGUUCGGAUUUACUGGGCGUAAAGGGCGCGUAGGCGGCCACCGCAAGUCGACUGUGAAAUCUCCGGGCUUAACCCGGAAAGGUCAGCCGAUACUGCGGGGCUAGAGUGCAGAAGGGGCAACUGGAAUUCUCGGUGUAGCGGUGAAAUGCGUAGAUAUCGAGAGGAACACCUGCGGCGAAGGCGGGUUGCUGGGCUGACACUGACGCUGAGGCGCGAAAGCUAGGGGAGCGAACGGGAUUAGAUACCCCGGUAGUCCUAGCCUUAAACGAUGAAUGCUUGGUGUCUGGGGUUUUAUAGUCCCCGGGUGCCGUCGCUAACGCUUUAAGCAUUCCGCCUGGGGAUACGGUCGCAAGACUG